UACGUAGGGGGCAAGCGUUGUCCGGAAUCAUUGGGCGUAAAGAGCGCGUAGGCGGCCCGAUAAGUCCGCUGUGAAAGUCAAGGGCUCAACCCUUGAAUGCCGGUGGAUACUGUCGGGCUAGAGUCCGGAAGAGGCGAGUGGAAUCCUGGUGUAGCGGUGAAAUGCGCAGAUAUCAGGAGGAACACCAAUGGCGAAGGCAGCUCGCUGGGACGGUACUGACGCUGAGGCGCGAAAGCGUGGGGAGCAAACAGG
rnacentral:rRNA from 1 species